CCCUUAGAUGUUCUGGGCCGCACGCGCGCUACACUGAUGCAGUCAACGAGUUUCGCCCUGCUUCGAUAGAGGUGGGUAAUCUUCUCAAACUGCAUCGUGCUGGGGAUAGAUUAUUGCAAUUUUUAAUCUUCAACGAGGAAUUCCUAGUAAGCGCAAGUCAUCAGCUUGCGCUGAUUACGUCCCUGCCCUUUGUACACACCGCCCGUCGCACCUACCGAUUGAAUGGUCCGGUGAAGCCUCCGGAUUGGCGCGCACCUCGGUGCCGCCGAGAAGUUGGCUAAACCUUACCAUUUAGAGGAAGGUGAAGUCGUAACA
rnacentral:rRNA from 1 species